CGGGGAGUAGCGCAGCCUGGCAGCGCACCUGCCUUGGGAGCAGGGGGUCGCUGGUUCGAAUCCAGUCUCCCCGA
rnacentral:tRNA from 1 species